UAUGCUCAAGUGGGGCACUGGGGACAGAGUUAGAGAAUACUGCGGAUCAGUUGCGAAGAAAACUCUGGGGGCGUGGAUCUUGAAUCUACUGGUACCAGCCACGGGCGCUCCCACAUAUACAUUUGAAGAAGUUCUAACAGAAGACAGGAGUGUUUUUGCCAAUAAUGCACUAUAACGUUGGAUGCUGAUAAACCCCAUCCCAGAAGAAGAAGAGUGCGAGUUGUUGAUUGAUAGAUAUCGGUUGGGGAUAUCCAUGUGUUCAGCUGAUCUGCCGUAUGUGAAAGAGAGAGGAGCGGGGCACACUUUCUAAUUGACCUAUCACAAUUGAACUUUUGCGUAUGGUGCCCCAUAUGCUUGUAAUGCAGCCCAACUCAAUGUGCUGGGACGGAUAGAACUGACACAACAUGGAUAACGCCUGUGAAAAUGCCAGAGCAAGAGAAUGGAAUAAUGAU
ensembl:lncRNA